UCGGCCACGACUGGAGCUAAUGGUCCUUUACCUUUACCUUAACCUACUUUGCAGGGAGGAAAAAGUUGGCAGAGGGAAAGCCAUGUAGUUUCUUGGGGGAAAGUUUGGGUGUAACCGCAACUAAACUGAACAAAGGCUUGAGCAAAACACACAGGUUGCAAAAUGGGCUUGGCCAGGAAGUGGCUGCUGUUAGCUGGUGAGGCAACCUGGUUGGGUAAACUCCAGGAAAUGUAGAUGUCGGCAGGUUGCAUGCAAAGCCCGUUUCCUGCUCGUCUCCCCGAAGAAGGAAUUUCCUGCGGGAAGUCCAGAGCAGUGCCUUAAAAAGCGAUCAGGACCUGCCUUGUUCUCAGAAGACAAGACGCUCAGCCACCGAAGCACACAUCCCAGGAAUGAUGCGAGGUCCGUGGUUGCUUUUCCUGAUUGUCCGGCGUCACCCGGGUGGUGGCUGCCAUCUCUGAGGCUGAAGUGCCGGCCAGAGAAGGAGGACCAACUUCGGAAGAUGCACCUGAGAAGGAAGAAGCCCACCUUGAGCGCCAGCAGGCAAGGAGCACCUGUUCCGAGUGCGUAUGCGUCAAUGGCACAUGGGUUCUGACCUGGAGGCCUGGAUGCGGCAGUACCAUAGCAGGAGGUAUCCCUAAACAUGAGGCAUGGAAAGGUCGCUGCAAGAACACUCCCUGUUAGCAACAUACCCUCGGCAGCCCCUCUUCUCUCUGUCCCCCUCCAGUCUCCAAAGAAUCACGGACUGGUCCAGGAGAUGCAACCGAGGAUAUUCCACCCAGAUGCAAAGUCUCAACGAGCGAAGAGUCAGCUCUUGCAGAGGUUUCUCACGGUGCUUCCAGCUCUUAUGUCUCAAUAAAGCAUUUGCAAAAGUG